GCUUGAAGUGGCUUUCUAGAGUCAAGUACCUGAGGAAAGAUCUAAACUCAAAUUUACUCAAAUGCAGGUCUAGCAUUUGAUCUAUCGUGCUAUUUAGACAUCAAAUUUCUCAGAGAGAUUUUUUCCUCCAUUUUCCUCCUGGGAGUUGUUCAAUUUUCUCUGGGCAUGAUUGAUCAUUGACUACUCAAUCACAUCUGUACCUCCUUCUCACUAAACUUCUCUGCUUUCUGUUCUCCCCUUUUCCAAGGGACAAUGAAAAGGCUGAUUCUUGGCUAGGGGCCUGUGAUGAGGGCCAUUUACCACUGUGCCUAGGUACCCAAGCAAACAAAGGGCUAGGCUAGUCUUACAGAAUCUCGUAUCUAAGCAACAUUGGUGCUAAGCAACCAUGGCACUUUAGCAUCAUGGAACCCUCCAGGCAGGGAGGGCCCUGGAUCUGGUCUAGAGAACAAGAAUCCUCCUCCAAGAGAGGACUGGGGAUUGUCCAUCAUCAGUGGCCUUAUGGGUCAAAGAUCCUUGUGCUCUGCUACAUCUUGGCAAACCCAGCCAGAUAUGGAAAACACUGGAAAAUAAGCCUCACUGCAGUGCCAGAUGAAACUAUUCCAAAUGGACCCACCCAAAAUGGCAGCUCAAGGAUGGGAACAUGA
rnacentral:lncRNA from 1 species